GAUGAACGCUGGCGGCGUGCUUAACACAUGCAAGUCGAACGGAAAGGCUCCUGCUUGCCGGGGUACUCGAGUGGCGAACGGGUGAGUAACACGUGGGUGAUCUGCCCUGCACUUCGGGAUAAGCCUGGGAAACUGGGUCUAAUACCGGAUAGGACCACAUUUUGGAUGGUGUGGUGGAAAGUUUUUCGGUGUGGGAUGAGCUCGCGGCCUAUCAGCUUGUUGGUGGGGUAAUGGCCUACCAAGGCGUCGACGGGUAGCCGGCCUGAGAGGGUGUACGGCCACAUUGGGACUGAGAUACGGCCCAGACUCCUACGGGAGGCAGCAGUGGGGAAUAUUGCACAAUGGGCGCAAGCCUGAUGCAGCGACGCCGCGUGGGGGAUGACGGCCUUCGGGUUGUAAACUCCUUUCGCUAGGGACGAAGCGCAAGUGACGGUACCUGGAGAAGAAGCACCGGCUAACUACGUG
rnacentral:rRNA from 1 species